UUUUUUUUUUUCCCCCACUGUACAGCAAGGGGGUCAGGUUAGUAUUUUUGAUAAAGAACAAACUUAUGGAGUUCCCGUCAUGGCGCAGUGGUUAACGAAUCCGACUAGGAACCAUGAGGUUGCGGGUUCGGUCCCUGCCCUUGCUCAGUGGGUUAACGAUCCGGCGUUGCCAUGAGCUGUGGUGUAGGUUGCAGACGUGGCUCGGAUCCAGCGUUGCUGUGGCUCUGGCCUAGGCUGGUGGUUACAGCUCCGAUUCAACCCCUAGCCUGGGAACCUCCAUAUGCUGCAGGAGUGGCCCAAGAAAUAGCAAAAAAAAGUCAAAAAAAAAAAACAACAAACUUAUUAUUAAUGAGAACAGAAUAUCACAUCAGUGAUAGCUGUAACAAAUGGAUACUGGCUAUUUCAAUUCAUUGAUUAUUUAUAUUUCAAUCUAGUUAGACCUAAAAAGUUACAUUGUUAACUCCUCAUAGUCCAUGAUUAGAACCCUAAAAUACUUUCACUUUUUAAAUAUGUGUAUAUAGUGGAUAUAUUGUAUAUGGUCAUGUUUUGAGUCCAAGAAAUUUGAAAAAAAUAUACAAUUUGAUGGAAAAAAAUUAAUUCAUUAGAUGAUUAAGACUAUACUCAGUAAAUUUUUAAAAGUCUGGUUCUUUUUUUCUUACCUAUAUUCCAUGUGCAAUAUUUGAUUCUUCCUGGGUUCUUUCUAGAUUGUACAAUCUAAUAUAUCGGGGAGAAGUUGAACAUAUCAGAAAGAAACCUUUCUAUCUUUUCUUUCCCAUUUGCUUAUAAACACUCCAUCCAAGCUAUAUGUUAAUAACCUAAUGCAAAGGAGUGGAACAAGUGUUAAAGUGGAGGCUUUAUAGUCUCAGUUUUUGUUAAAAAUAUGGUAAAUCAAAUGUUGCCACAUUGUUAAAUAAUAUCACCCAGCCAGUGCUAGCAAAUGUGUUGGUAAGAUACUGGUUUUGAAACUUGAUACCUCACCCACUGGAAGUUAUUAAAAAAUCUCAGAGUUGAAGUACUCGGAAAGUUGGAGAUUCAGAAGGAAAAUCUUUGCAGGUGGUUCAGUUCAUUGUGCGUCCACAAAUCUAGGGAGAGCAGCUUUCAUUUGUGGAGAAUUGACAUGUGUCUCCUGAGUUUCAAGGAAUUUAAGUAAUUCAAAGGCUGAGAGUUCAGGGCAGGUAAUUGUUCCACAUACAGAUUGCAUAGAGGUUGCUUGAAUGGGGAUUGCCUACUUGUCCAGCAUCUUUCAGAACAGGGAAUGAGUGAACGUUUUCCAAAGAACCCUGAGAGAGAGACAGCAUAGAUUCUGUGAGGAAGGCUAGGAGAGAUCAGUGGAAACAAAAUGGGAGUGUACCCUGAGAUGCUAAGAGGCUGAAGAAUGAUCUGUAGGUUUGUCCACGGAAAGACGUAUGUGUAUACAUAAAGCAAUCUGCAGACAAGAUAGCCAGGUAAUUUUACAGUUGAGGAAGACACUGAUGAAUUGACACAGUGCUACCUGAGAGAAAAAGUAAUUUUCAAAGGGCUUUCAUAAACACAGCAUACCAAUUCUGAAUCACCAAGACAGUGGCAAAGUAGAGUUUUCCUGCUCUUCAUGUAUUCUUUUCCAAAUUCCAUCCUCUUCUCAUCUUUGGAGAUGGUUAGGCAAUUUAGAUGUAGGAAGGGAAAAGUUUCAGUUAAAAUUGUUUCUUAUGAUUUUGUUUAUUUUGUUUUAUACAGGACUGGGUAUAUUAAUUAUUAAAAUAGAUUGAACUAAAGUAAAAUUUCUCUUGACUAAAGUUAGCAGAAGUUUUAAUUAUCUAACAGUAACCAGAGCAGUCCUUUCGAUAUACCUUAGAUUUCAUCAAAGGGGGCAGAGGGAGCAAAUUGCAUAGAACAGGCUUACUUGUGCCCUGUGGAGGGAGGAUGGGUAAGAGCAGAUAAAGUUGUAUUCUGAUUGUGUCCUUUCUGUUUACCCUGUUCUUCCUGUUUAUUAAGCCCCAGGAUUGAAUUUCACUUUUAGCCAUUAUUCAUUUAUUUGGGAGUGCUCAUGUUUUCUAUUCAUUCAUAUCUAUUCAUUUCCCCAAACAUUCUCAAGAGAGAAUUCUGAGACAGUUUGUGUUUCUCAUCAAUUGGUUGCAUUCUAUGCUACAGCUAAAGAAUUUUACAAAGUAUUUGCAGCAUGUAUAGGAAAUCCUUUCCUUGUUGCAGCAUGUGUAUGAAAUCCUUUCCUUGUUUCUGAAGAGAAUUUAUAUUUUUCACAUUAAAAUUUUUUUUCUUAAUCCAGUUUUCUUCUUAGAGAGGCUGAAGAGUCUCAGACAUAUAUUUUCAUCAAAACAGUAUUCCAUUGUUUAAGAUAACUUCUAAAUAUUAAUUUUGAGAAAAAAAUCAGUCAGAUCAUAAGAUAUAGUCUAAAUAUUAUGUAAUUAGUAAAACACUUUAAAAUGUAACUUUUUUCUUUUAAGAAUAAUUUGUAUUUAUUAUAUAAGAAAAAAACAGUGAUACAUUGGGAACUAGAAAAACAUUAGCAACAUGAAUUCUUUUCAAAAGAGAGGAAAAUGAAAAACUAACAAAAAAAGAAACUUUUAUUUCUUAUAUUCUUAUAGCAAUGUUCUUAUAAUAUCUACACUUCAGAUAAAUCAUUUUAUUUCUGCUUAUAACAGAUGAUGAUCCAAUUGUAUAGGACACGUUUCUAAACUGUCUUUUUCUUCCCUUAAAAUUCUUUUUUUAGGGAAGGAAAUAGCUGAAAAUAUUAAGGAGAGUUUAUUUAAUUUGUAGUUCCUUAAUUUGUUAUUUGAAAUACUCUUCAAGUGGAAUUUGUUUUCAGUAAUGUAUUUCUGUUUAAACUCUUGGAAUGAACUGCUGAAGUAAGCAACUGAAGUAAAUGGAUCUUCAGAGAAUUAUAGUUUAUUCCCAUAUUAUCCAAGUUGGUCUCUUGACUUGAAGAUUAAAAGCUAUUCUCAAACCUGGUAAACAUGUUUUCUAAAAUUUUACAGGAAAAAAUUGUUAAACACUGUAUGACAGCCUCAGUGUUUUUGACAGAUCUUUGCUUCUUUAGGAGCAAAGCAGGAUGGCAUGUUGUCCUUCUUGAUAUCAUUCAAUCCCUUUGAGGAGAAUAUAGUUUUUAUGGAGAUGAUAAAUAUUUAGUAUGAAUAUAUUAACUUAAUCAUACAAUUAUAAACUAGAGCAAAAAGUGUCCCCCAAAUACUCUUUCCUAUGAGAAUUAAUAUUUUUGCACAUAGAAGGAGCAAAGGAAAUGUAAAAUACAUGACAUUGAUAUUCUAUAAUGUGUGUGUGUGUAUUCACCGCAAAUAGCUACCCUGAAAUCAUAUUUGCGUUUCAGUGACAUUCCAAAGUGAACUAAAUUUAAGAUAAGUUGAAGAUUCAUACUAUUUUUCUUGCAUAUUUUUCAUUUUAGGAGUUGUAUGAUUUUAAUUGAAUAUAAUAAUUAAAAAUCUCUGUCAAUCAUUAUUUUAAUCUCUUAUAGCUCUUAAUUUGCUUUGAAAGCUAAUAACAAUUCAAUCCCAUCAUUGUUCUUCUAAGUUUUCUUGAACUUUAUAUCCACUUUUUGUAUGUCAGAUCCUGAUUUGCAUUUCACACACACACACAUAUACACACGUAUACAUAUACACGUGUAUGGAUUUGCAUAUGCAUGUACAUACAUAUAUAUUUACACAUAUCUCUGUGUGUGCAUGGUAAGGAAAAGGUAGUUUGUUGUUUAGUUUGAGAAAACUAAGACUUUAGAACCAAAACCAGACUUGGAAUAUAAUCAUUUUAAACCCCUCAGUUUAUAGUUAUUGUUAACUUAAUUUGCACUAGUUAGUCAGGUUGCAUUUUUUUCCAAUAACCAUUGAUCCAUGCAUACAACCUAAGUGGGAUGAAUAUAAUUUUGUUUUAUUCUAGUGUACUUGCAUCAUCAAUUGUGAUGAUUUGGGAAUAUAUUUUAAAUCAAAUGUAAGCAUGGAAUCAAACAUCACUUUAUAUAUUCUGUCUGUAUUAUGGAAACCAAAUGGAUUAGUAAAGCUCCAAGGCUGCAUUAAAAGUCUUAUUCACAAUAUGCUGUUUAUUUGACAGUUGUCAUCUGAGAAUUCUUAAGCAUAUACUCCUCCUCCUGAUGGGUAUGCUAUUUCUUAUUUGUGUGAUAGUUCUAGAAUUUAACAAAGCACUCUGUGCUCCUUUUACAUAUGACAUCCUAGAAUUAAACAGUUAGGCGUUAAUUACCAAAGUUGCUUUGAACUUCUCUUCAAGAUGAUUCACAAAUGUAUGGUCAAGUGAAAUUUUAAUGUCAGUGUGUUAGUCUGAAUAGAAAGUCUAUGAGUAGGAAAAUCAUAAGAAAAUCAUUUGAAAUGGAAUGAUAAUUUUUAGCUCAAUCUCUACUUCAAAUUAGAAGACUGCUCCUAUAGAUAUGCAUAGAUUUCAUUUAACAUUGAAAUUUUCCACUAGAUCUGCUUUUGAGCACAUGAGUAUUUCUUCAAGAGUGAAUGAAUCUAGAUGAAUCAUAUUCUGCUUAAAUGAACGACUUAAACCUGCCUAUGCAAUGCCUGUGCACUGAAGAAAAAGCCUUCAAGAUCCUGUCUCAUCUACACAAUGCUGAUAAAUAAAUUGCUUGGGGAAUUUUUUUUUAAUAUACAACUAACUUACUAAUGAUUAAACUGUCGAUUCAGUUAUGUCAUAUAUAUCCAAGUUUGGAACCAGGAGUGCUAUUUAUUUAUUUACUUAUUUAUUUAUUUUUAGGGCUGCACCUGCAGCAUAUGGAAGUUCCCAGGUGAAGGGUCGAAUUGGAGCUGCAGCUGCAGCCCUAUUCAACAACACCAGAUUCAGGCUACCUCUGUGACCUAUACCACAGCUCACGGCAGUGCCAGGGAUUGAACCAACAUCGUCAUACAUACAAGUUGGGUUCUAAACCCCUGAGCCAUAGCAGGAACUCCCAGGAGAGUUCUUUAAACCAGGGACGUUCUUUAAAACUUCAAUUCCCCUCACCCACUUCCAGUCAGUCAGAUAAUCUGUGAUAAGACUCCAGGCUCCAUGUCCAUUGUCAGGUCUCCUGAUUUACUAAUUUCCUGUGGAUCAUACUCAGAACCUCCCCUUCAAGUCGAUGGACACAAAUGGAGUGUAGUUUUAUACUGAGUUCGCCUCAACCUUACCAUAGCAAUGAUAAAAUAAAAAGCAGAAAGAUCGCAGGAAGUGUUUAGUGUCAAAAUAAGACAUAUAUACAGGCCACGGAGACCUCAGUCAGAUUGGUACCUCAUUGUAUUAAUAUACCCUAUUAACAUACAAAUACAUGAAAGGAAAAGACAGCAGAAAGUGAAGGAUGUUAAAAUGGAAAAAUAUGUGAGAAGAAAAGUCAGCAAAAACAGUACUAAAAGGUAGUUAUAUUAUAGAUCAUUGUCCAGUUCUUUCAUAUACCUAUGUUUUUUCUCUGCUGAAACAGUUUUUUGCAAUUUAAUGAAUGAGGAUAUUAUAAUCAUGAAUAACAUAUAAUGAGAAGAAUUAAGUGACAUUUUAAAUACAGCCAUUCAGCCUGUCACUUAGU
rnacentral:lncRNA from 1 species